rnacentral:rRNA from 1 species
AUUGAACGCUGGCGGCAGGCUUAACACAUGCAAGUCGAGCGGAGCGAGGGUGCUUGCACCUUAGCUUAGCGGCGGACGGGUGAGUAAUGCUUAGGAAUCUGCCUAUUAGUGGGGGACAACAUUCCGAAAGGAAUGCUAAUACCGCAUACGCCCUACGGGGGAAAGCAGGGGAUCUUCGGACCUUGCGCUAAUAGAUGAGCCUAAGUCGGAUUAGCUAGUUGGUGGGGUAAAGGCCUACCAAGGCGACGAUCUGUAGCGGGUCUGAGAGGAUGAUCCGCCACACUGGGACUGAGACACGGCCCAGACUCCUACGGGAGGCAGCAGUGGGGAAUAUUGGACAAUGGGCGGAAGCCUGAUCCAGCCAUGCCGCGUGUGUGAAGAAGGCCUUAUGGUUGUAAAGCACUUUAAGCGAGGAGGAGGCUACUCAGAUUAAUACUCUGGGAUAGUGGACGUUACUCGCAGAAUAAGCACCGGCUAACUCUGUGCCAGCAGCCGCAGUAAUAC